UGUCGAUUUUGUAUUUUUUUAUUAUUAUUAUUUUAGGUUUUAAAAAUUUUAUAUUUAUAAAAAUAAAAUAUGUUUUGGAUGUUUUAACUAUUAGAGGGGUACGAUGGUUAAAAAAAAAAUUAAGUUUUUUGAAUAAAAUGAAAACUUAAAAAUUCAUGGACAAAGAUUUAAAGUUUAAAAAUUAUUUGAAUAAAAUUUUAAAAUAUUUAUAAAUUUCAGAAAGUUAUUUGGAUAGAAUUUUAAAAAAAUAAAAUUUAAAAAUUAA
rnacentral:lncRNA from 1 species